rnacentral:rRNA from 1 species
UACAGAGGUCUCAAGCGUUGUUCGGAAUUACUGGGCGUAAAGGGUGCGCAGGCCGCGCGGGCAGUCAAAUGUGUAAUCCCAGGGGCUCAACCCCUGAACUGCGCUUGAUACUUCCGCGCUCGAGCUUUGGAGAGGAGUCUGGAAUUCUCGGUGUAGCAGUGAAAUGCGUGGAUAUCGAGAAGAACACUUAGGGCGUAGGCAAGACUCUGGACAAAUGCUGACGCUCAUGCACGAAGGCUAGGGUAGCGAACGGG